rnacentral:rRNA from 1 species
UACGAAGGGGGCUAGCGUUGCUCGGAAUCACUGGGCGUAAAGGGUGCGUAGGCGGGUCUUUAAGUCAGGGGUGAAAUCCUGGAGCUCAACUCCAGAACUGCCUUUGAUACUGAGGAUCUUGAGUUCGGGAGAGGUGAGUGGAACUGCGAGUGUAGAGGUGAAAUUCGUAGAUAUUCGCAAGAACACCAGUGGCGGAAGGCGGCUCACUGGCCCGAUACUGACGCUGAGGCACGAAAGCGUGGGGAGCAAACAGG